CCUGGGUCCACAAAAUGAACCCCUUAAAGAUCCUAUCUCCACAACCUCAAAACAUGACUAGAUGUAAAGGUCUAUCUCUCUGUGAGCUCUCGAUAACGACAUCCCUUACAGGACAAAAAUAAAUCAAGUGAACUGUUAAAAAAACAAACUAGUAACCUUGUAAGAGGACUUCAUCAGGACGCACUAUCAUAGUCUUGGCACGGUCUCUCCAAUACUUUCAUUAUUUC